GAUGAACGCUGGCGGCGUGCCUAAUACAUGCAAGUCGAGCGAACGGACGAGAAGCUUGCUUCUCUGAUGUUAGCGGCGGACGGGUGGGUAACACGUGGAUAACCUACCUAUAAGACUGGGAUAACUUCGGGAAACCGGAGCUAAUACCGGAUAAUAUUUUGAACCGCAUGGUUCAAAAGUGAAAGACGGUUUUGCUGUCACUUAUAGAUGGAUCCGCGCUGCAUUAGCUAGUUGGUAAGGUAACGGCUUACCAAGGCAACGAUGCAUAGCCGACCUGAGAGGGUGAUCGGCCACACUGGAACUGAGACACGGUCCAGACUCCUACGGGAGGCAGCAGUAGGGAAUCUUCCGCAAUGGGCGAAAGCCUGACGGAGCAACGCCGCGUGAGUGAUGAAGGUCUUCGGAUCGUAAAACUCUGUUAUUAGGGAAGAACAUAUGUGUAAGUAACUGUGCACAUCUUGACGGUACCUAAUCAGAAAGCCACGGCUAACUACGUG
rnacentral:rRNA from 1 species